rnacentral:rRNA from 1 species
UUCAGAACGGGAUAGUGUCUGGAAACGGACAGUAAUACCGUAUAACGUAUUUUUACCGCAUGAUAGAAAUACCAAAACUGAGGUGCCGAAGGAUGGGCUCGCGUCUGAUUAGAUAGUUGGUGGUGUAACGGCCUACCAAGUCGACGAUCAGUAGCCGGACUGAGAGGUUGAACGGCCACAUUGGGACUGAGACACGGCCCAGACUCCUACGGGAGGCAGCAGUGGGGAAUAUUGCACAAUGGGGGAAACCCUGAUGCAGCAACGCCGCGUGAAGGAAGACGGUUUUCGGAUUGUAAACUUCUGUUCUUAGUGAAGAAUAAUGACGGUAGCUAAGGAGCAAGCCACGGCUAACUACGUGCCAGCAGCCGCGGUAAUACGUAGGUGGCAAGCGUUGUCCGGAAUUACUGGGUGUAAAGGGAGCGUAGGCGGGAUGCCAAGUCAGCUGUGAAAACUAUGGGCUUAACCUGUAGACUGCAGUUGAAACUGGUAUUCUUGAGUGAAGUAGAGGUUGGCGGAAUUCCGAGUGUAGCGGUGAAAUGCGUAGAUAUUCGGAGGAACACCGGUGGCGAAGGCGGCCAACUGGGCUUUAACUGACGCUGAGGCUCGAAAGUGUGGGGAGCAAACAGGAUUAGAUACCCUGGUAGUCCACACUGUAAACGAUGAUAACUAGGUGUGGGGGGUCUGACCCCUUCCGUGCCGCAGCUA